UUGUCGUCAGCUCGUGUCGUGAGAUGUUGGGUUAAGUCCCGCAACGAGCGCAACCCCUAUUGUUAGUUGCCAUCAUUCAGUUGGGCACUCUAGCGAGACUGCCGGUAAUAAACCGGAGGAAGGUGGGGAUGACGUCAAAUCAUCAUGCCCCUUAUGACCUGGGCUACACACGUGCUACAAUGGUUGGUACAACGAGUUGCGAGUCGGUGACGGCGAGCUAAUCUCUUAAAGCCAAUCUCAGUUCGGAUUGUAGGCUGCAACUCGCCUACAUGAAGUCGGAAUCGCUAGUAAUCGCGGAUCAGCACGCCGCGGUCGAAUACGUUCCCGGGCCUU
rnacentral:rRNA from 1 species